AGCAAUCUUCAGGGCAGGGUGAAAUUCCCGAUCGGCGGUAAAGUCCGCGACUCCCAUUUGGGACUGAUCUAGUGAAAUUCUAGAACCGACUGUAAAGUCAGGACGGAAGAAGAUGGGC
rfam:Aerococcus viridans ATCC 11563 = CCTG 4311 strain ATCC 11563 contig00131, whole genome shotgun sequence.